UCGAGAAUCUUCGGCAAUGGACGCAAGUCUGACCGAGCGACGCCGCGUGCGGGAUGAAGGCCUUCGGGUUGUAAACCGCUGUCAGAGGUUAGGAAAUUUUGACCGAUCCUCAGAGGAAGUACGGGCUAAGUUCGUGCCAGCAGCCGCGGUAAGACGAACCGUACGAACGUUAUUCGGAAUCACUGGGCUUAAAGGGUGCGUAGGCGGUGCGAUAAGUCGGGUGUGAAAUCCCUCGGCUCAACCGAGGAACUGCGCCCGAUACUGUCGUGCUUGAGGGAGGUAGAGGUGAGCGGAACUCACGGUGGAGCGGUGAAAUGCGUUGAUAUCGUGAGGAACACCUGUGGCGAAAGCGGCUUACUGGACCUCUUCUGACGCUGAGGCACGAAAGCUAGGGUAGCGAACAGGAUUAGAUACCCCCGUAGUCC
rnacentral:rRNA from 1 species